rnacentral:rRNA from 1 species
UACGAAGGGGGCAAGCGUUGUUCGGAAUUACUGGGCGUAAAGGGCGCGCAGGCGGCUGAUCAAGUCAGAUGUGAAAGCCCCGGGCUCAACCUGGGAAUAGCAUUUGGGACUGGUCGGCUAGAGUUCGGGAGAGGAGAGUGGAAUUCCCAGUGUAGAGGUGAAAUUCGUAGAUAUUGGGAAGAACACCGGUGGCGAAGGCGGCUCUCUGGACCGAUACUGACGCUGAGGCGCGAAAGCGUGGGGAG